AAAACCUUUAGUUUUUAAUAAAAACGACAUUUAAAAUGUACAAAUGAUGAAUUCUAAAAUCACCAACAUUUACAGGAAAUCAGAGCAAAAACAAACAUCAGCAGGAACUUCUGUAGAACCCAGCUCCUACAGAACUGGACCAGAACAUGAACCAGAUCAGAACCACCAAGUGGGUCAAGAUCUGGAGUUCUGAUUCCAAACAUUUCAGCUUCUGAAUGUUGAAACUUUGAGUUGGAAAGUUUUUCCCUCCCGGUUUAAGAGUUUUACUGGAUCGAUGGACCAGACCAAUUAAAGUUCUGGUCCAGAUUCUCCCUCAAGAACUUCUCUGACAACGCUGUUACCAUGGAAACAACGGUAGGAGAGGCUUUGAUUGGUCCGGCAGAAACAGGAAGUUUAAUUAUUAAUGAUUAAUGUUUUCACAGACUGGAGUGGAACACCGGUUACCAGUUACUGGUACCCUGAUGGGAUUAGUUACUGGUUCCCAGAU